rnacentral:rRNA from 1 species
GAUGAACGCUGACAGCAUGCUUAACACAUGCAAGUCAACUUGUGGCGGACGGGUGAGUAACGCGUAAAGAACUUGCCUCACAGAUAGGGACAACAUUUGGAAACGAAUGCUAAUACCUGAUACUGUGAGAGAGCUUUGCGUCACAGUAGCUAGUUGGAGAGGUAACGGCUCACAAAGGCGAUGAUGGGUAGCCGGCCUGAGAGGGUGAUCGGCCACAAGGGGACGGAGACACGGCACUUACACCGACGAGAGGCAGCAGAGGGGAAUAUGGGAGAAGGGACAAAAGGCUGAUCGGACUAAUGUGUGUGAGCGAUGAACUUUUCGGAAUGAACAGUGGUGUCAGUUAGGAAGCGGUACCAACAGAAGAAGUGACGGCUAAAUACGUGCCAGCAGCCGCGGUAAUAC